AUGAGGCUUCUGCGGGUGGCCACCUGCAACCUCAACCAGUGGGCCAUGGACUUCGACACCAACCUCCGCAACGUCAAGGAGUCCAUCUCCCGGGCCAAGGCCGCCGGCGCCGUCGUCCGCAUCGGCCCCGAGCUCGAGCUCACCGGAUACGGCUGCGAGGACCAUUUCCUCGAGCAGGACACCACCGCGCACGCAUGGGAGUGCCUGAAGGACAUUUUGUCUGGUGACUAUACAGAUGACAUCUUGUGCAGCAUAGGAAUGCCUAUUAUUUUCAAGAGUGUGCGGUACAACUGCCAGGUUUUCUGCCUAAAUCGCAAGAUAAUUAUGAUUCGGCCAAAGAUGUCCCUUGCAAAUGAUGGGAACUAUCGUGAAUUUCGAUGGUUUUCUGCUUGGACAUAUAAAGAUGAACUUGUCGAUUUUCAACUCCCUAUUGAUGUCUCAGAGGUUAUAGACCAGGAAACUGUACCUUUUGGUUAUGGUUAUCUGCAGUUUCUCGACGUAUCUUUGGCCGCCGAAACCUGUGAAGAGCUAUUUACUGCAAAUGCUCCUCGGAUUGAUCUAGCAUUCAGUGGCGUUGAGGUCUUCAUGAAUGCAAGUGGAAGCCAUCAUCAGUUAAGGAAGCUCAACCUUCGGAUUGAUUCCAUGAGAGACGCAACCCGUUUAUGUGGUGGUGUAUACAUGUAUGCUAAUCACCAGGGUUGUGAUGGUGGCCGCCUUUAUUAUGAUGGCUGCUGCUGCAUUGCGGUGAAUGGGGAUGUGGUUGCCCAGGGAUCACAAUUCUCAUUGAAGGAUGUUGAAGUGUUGGAUGCUUUGAUAGAUCUGGAUGCUGUAUCAAGUUAUCGAGCAUGUGUUUCUAGUUUUAGGGAGCAAGCAAGUCAUGUAACAAAAGUACCUUGUGUUAAGGUACAAUAUAAGCUUUGCCAAACAUUUCGUGAUGGAAUGAUCCCAACUGAUCCAAUUGAGGUUAUGUAUCACUGUCCUGAGGAGGAGAUUGCAUUUGGACCUAGUUGCUGGCUGUGGGAUUAUCUUCGCAGAAGUCGAGCAUCUGGAUUUUUGCUUCCACUUUCUGGUGGUGCGGAUAGUUCGUCCGUUGCAGCAAUUGUUGGCUGCAUGUGCCAGCUUGUCAUAAAAGAUAUAGAUAAAGGAGAUGAGCAAGUUAAGGCAGAUGCUAUGCGGAUUGGUCAGUACAGAGAUGGGGAGUUCCCCACAGACAGCAGAGAGCUUGCAAAACGUUUAUUUUAUACUGUUUACAUGGGAACAGAAAAUAGUUCUGAAGAUACCAGAUCACGCGCCAAAAGGCUGGCGGAAGAGAUUGGUUCAUUCCACUUUGAUGUACCUAUUGACAGUGUAGUGUCUGCAUUUCUUUCUUUGUUUGAAAGAUUAACUGGCAAGCGACCACGCUACAAGGUUGACGGGGGAUCACAUACUGAGAAUCUGGGAUUGCAAAAUAUUCAAGCUCGAAUCAGGAUGGUGCUGGCCUUUAUGAUGGCUUCUCUAAUGCCAUGGGUUCAUAACAAGUCUGGGUUCUAUCUUGUUCUUGGAAGCUCAAAUGUGGAUGAAGGAUUGCGUGGUUACUUGACGAAAUAUGACUGCAGUUCAGCUGAUAUAAACCCCAUUGGAAGUGUAAGUAAGCAAGACCUUAGGGCUUUCCUACGAUGGGCAGCAGUUCAUCUUCAGUAUUCUUCAUUGGCUGAGGUUGAAGCUGCACCUCCUACUGCAGAGCUUGAGCCAAUCCGCACAGAUUAUAGCCAGUUGGAUGAAGUGGACAUGGGGAUGACAUACGAGGAGUUAUCGAUAUAUGGGAGAUUAAGGAAAAUAUUCCGAUGCGGUCCUGUUUCGAUGUUUCAGAACCUCUGCCACAGGUGGUGUGGGCGACUAUCCCCCUCAGAAGUGGCCGAUAAAGUGAAGCACUUCUUCAAGUACUAUGCCAUAAACCGGCACAAGAUGACGGUCUUGACACCAUCCUAUCACGCUGAGAGCUAUUCACCAGAGGAUAACAGGUUCGAUCUCCGGCAGUUCCUAUACAACUCGACAUGGCCGUACCAGUUUCGCAAGAUUGAUCAACUUGUACAAGAUAUCGACAAAGAUGGCAAAUGGGUGGAAGAUCGUCGCGCAGACUCGCAGCUGAGACAACGCGGAGCCGCUAGGCCUGCCCAGGGAGGUGGAAUGGGAGUCGUGGCCGCGGGAUCUGCCAAUCCCGGUGUUGGGCUGUAA
rnacentral:rRNA from 1 species